ACUACGGGAGGCAGCAGUGAGGAAUAUUGGUCAAUGGGCGCGAGCCUGAACCAGCCAAGUAGCGUGAAGGAUGACUGCCCUACGGGUUGUAAACUUCUUUUAUAUGGGAAUAAAACGUUCCACGUGUGGGAUGUUGUAUGUACCAUAUGAAUAAGGAUCGGCUAACUCCGUGCCAGCAGCCGCGGUAAUACGGAGGAUCCGAGCGUUAUCCGGAUUUAUUGGGUUUAAAGGGAGCGUAGGUGGAUUGUUAAGUCAGUUGUGAAAGUUUGCGGCUCAACCGUAAAAUUGCAGUUGAAACUGGCAGUCUUGAGUACAGUAGAGGUGGGCGGAAUUCGUGGUGUAGCGGUGAAAUGCUUAGAUAUCACGAAGAACUCCGAUUGCGAAGGCAGUUCACUGGACUGCAACUGACACUGAGGCUCGAAAGUGUGGGUAUCAAACAGGAUUAGAUACCCUAGUAGUC
rnacentral:rRNA from 1 species